AGAGUUUGAUCAUGGCUCAGAUUGAACGCUGGCGGCAUGCCUUACACAUGCAAGUCGAGCGGCAGCGCGGGGGCAACCCUGGCGGCGAGCGGCGCACGGGUGAGUAAUGCAUCGGAACGUGUCCUCUUGUGGGGGGAUAACCAGUCGAAAGACUGGCUAAUACCGCAUGAGAUCGAGAGAUGAAAGCAGGGGACCCGCAAGGCCUUGCGCGAGAGGAGCGGCCGAUGCCCGAUUAGCUAGUUGGCGGGGUAAAAGCCCACCAAGGCGACGAUCGGUAGCUGGUCUGAGAGGACGACCAGCCACACUGGGACUGAGACACGGCCCAGACUCCUACGGGAGGCAGCAGUGGGGAAUUUUGGACAAUGGGGGCAACCCUGAUCCAGCCAUGCCGCGUGUGUGAAGAAGGCCUUCGGGUUGUAAAGCACUUUCGGACGGAACGAAAUCGCACGAUCUAACAAGUCGUGUGGAUGACGGUACCGUAAGAAGAAGCACCGGCUAACUACGUGCCAGCAGCCGCGGUAAUACGUAGGGUGCGAGCGUUAAUCGGAAUUACUGGGCGUAAAGUGUGCGCAGGCGGUUGAGCAAGUCGAGUGUGAAAGCCCCGGGCUUAACUUGGGAAUUGCGCUCGAAACUACUUGACUGGAGUGUGGCAGAGGAAGGUGGAAUUCCCGUGUAGCGGUGAAAUGCGUAGAGAUGUGGAGGAACACCAAUGGCGAAGGCAGCCUUCUGGGCCAACACUGACGCUCAUGCACGAAAGCGUGGGGAGCAAACAGGAUUAGAUACCCUAGUAGUCC
rnacentral:rRNA from 1 species